ACGAACGCUGGCGGCGUGCCUAAUACAUGCAAGUAGAACGCUGAAGGAGGAGCUUGCUUCUCUGGAUGAGUUGCGAACGGGUGAGUAACGCGUAGGUAACCUGCCUGGUAGCGGGGGAUAACUAUUGGAAACGAUAGCUAAUACCGCAUAAGAGUAGAUGUUGCAUGACAUUUGCUUAAAAGGUGCAAUUGCAUCACUACCAGAUGGACCUGCGUUGUAUUAGCUAGUUGGUGAGGUAACGGCUCACCAAGGCAACGAUACAUAGCCGACCUGAGAGGGUGAUCGGCCACACUGGGACUGAGACACGGCCCAGACUCCUACGGGAGGCAGCAGUAGGGAAUCUUCGGCAAUGGACGGAAGUCUGACCGAGCAACGCCGCGUGAGUGAAGAAGGUUUUCGGAUCGUAAAUCUCUGUUGUAAGAGAAGAACGAGUGUGAGAGUGGAAAGUUCACACUGUGACGGUAUCUUACCAGAAAGGGACGGCUAACUACGUG
rnacentral:rRNA from 1 species